rfam:Cellulomonas cellasea DSM 20118 contig11, whole genome shotgun sequence.
GCGAGAAACGGCAAACCCGCCGCAAGGUGGGGACGCAAAGCCACGGGGCCUCAGGGGUCAGCCGAGCUACCGAAC